AACAAUAUUCUUUCAGUGUUCGUCUUUUCCAACUUGGGCGACCCUUUUGGAAGCGCGAUACUUGGGUUAACCCAUCCUAUAGUUGGAUCUGUUUCCAACUGGGGUUCGAAUACAAACACCGGCCCCACACUGGCGGGACGCUGCCGUCUAAUACCCAACAUAUGAGGGGCAGGAGGUCACUCACUACAUAUAAGAUAUAAAGAAGUGAAAGCAUUGGCUGAUUAUUACGGGCUCACCAUAGGCCGUGCUACACGUUCUGAGUAGCUAACUCUGAAACAUCAACAAACAUUGGCUGAUUAUCUCCAGUCAACCAAAGGAGGAGGCUGAUUGUCUUGUGAAGCUCAUUGUUCACGGAGGACCAGAGGAGAAACACUUGUACCAAGUGUUUAGGUGAAGAGACGUACAAUGGGUCUGGCAGUGUCACCAUUCAUGGAGUAUUUCAUCAUCAUCUCAGCUGUACAUGGGGAGUAUAUUGCUGUCAACUGGACUGAAGUAGGAUCUAGAGGGUCAACCACUGAGUCUCAUUUGGAAGACCCAGCAGUGAAGCCCCUUGCUCCUUGCCCAUGUGACCUGACUUCAAACUUCUGUGAUCCUCAUUGUUGCUGUGAUAAGGACUGCUCUUUGCGUGACAAAAAAUCUUUCACGUGUUUGGAAGGCUUGAAUGGUGGUCAUUCAACGGAUAAGAUUUUAGAUAAUAACUGUAAAUACCAAGGACCUUAUUCACCUGAGUGGCAUGACUUCUUAUGCUUUGUGACUGAGAAUAAUCCUUACCUUGGGCUUUUUUACAAGCCUGAACCUUCAAUUCAGGAUUUUCAAAAAUAUCUAUCACGAGUUAAGAGUGAUGCGUAUAGCUACAGACACACUACUGCUCACCCUCAAGAUCAAGAACGUUUCCCAUAUUAUGUAUUGGGUUCAAGUGUGGAAACUGCAAUCCUAACAAAUUUUACUAUAUUUAAAAACAUUCUGUCAUUGCCACAGCAAAUAUUGAAUGGGUUGUGUGUUAAAACAAUUCCUAUUCAUUUCUUAGAAGAUUUUGCACAUGUGUGUUCCUUGGCUGUAUCUCCUGAGGUAUGCAAAACAGAGCCUCUUUUAAGUGCAGCUACAUUCCUUCAUAAAGCUGAUGGAAUUAUCCGAGAUCCUUAUGUAGGUCAUCUACAUGUUAUUGGUAACCUUGCUGCCCUUCAGAUGGCUGAUGUCUUCGUUGAGUAUGAAUGCCUGUGGGACACUAACAAUUUCAUUAAAGUACAGGGCUUGAAUAAGUUUGUAAAUAAAGGUUCGUCUCAGUUUUGGACAGAACGCUAUAAUUCAGAAACAUGCAGUGGAAAUAAUGUCCCAUUUUAUAAUGAAACUUCUCAAAUGUGUGAAAAUGUAGUACUUAGUGUGGAAUACAAUAUAGGGUGGAGAGGACCAUCCAUUGUUGAAGUUCAUGCUAAAGUUACAUUAGGGGAUGUGGCUGUUACAUUUGAAAGACUUCUUGGAAAAUAUUCGAGUGAAAUUGAUAGGGAGUCAUUCCUUUACAAAAACACAGUGAGUAAACUUGAAAGUGCACUUUCAAAAAGAAGAAAGUUUAUCACUCCAUCAAGAAGUCUUAAACUCUCUCUACUUCAACACUUUUCAGCAAGUUUUUAUCAUAUGGGGUCUUCAAGCACUUCAAAUGAAACAACCGAACUCUUCCGUAAAUUAGAUAGUAAUAAAAUAAAUAUUACGGAUGAUUUUGAAUACGAGUCAAGAAUUUCUGAGAGGUCUGGCAAUCCUGGAUAUGAAGUUGGCAAGCCUGUCAUAGGAGGUUAUGCUAUGUAUAACAUGAGUACAUAUGAGGACAACACUACAUGCAAGAACUUUAUCUCUGUUGAAAUGCAAGUGGAGGAUGUAAGGAGUCUCUGGAUGAAGUAGUCAGCUUCAAGGUGGAUAUGAUAUCUUCCUGUACUUAUUUCUGGAGGAAUAUCAACAGUUGCAGUGACCUCCGUGAAACAAUUAAGGAUGAAUUUUACUCACUGAUCAAAUUGGAUGUUAUCAGUAAGCUUGGGUGGCCAAACCCUACCAUAGAAAGUGACUUUCUUCCUAUAAUAUU
rnacentral:misc_RNA from 1 species